rnacentral:rRNA from 1 species
CAGUCGCCACGGUAAUACGAAGGGGGCUAGCGCUGUUCGGAAUUACAGGGCGUAAAGCGCACGUAGGCGGAUAUUUAAGUCAGGGGUGAAAUCCCAGAGCUCAACUCUGGAACUGCCUUUGAUACAGGGUAUCUUGAGUAUGGAAGAGGUGAGUGGAAUUCCGAGUGUAGAGGUGAAAUUCGUAGAUAUUCGGAGGAACACCAGUGGCGAAGGCGGCUCACUGGUCCAUUACUGACGCUGAGGUGCGAAAGCGUGGGGAGCAAACAGGAUUAGAGACCCGAGUAGUCCCUGUCUCUUAUAC